AUACUUACCUGGCGUCGGGACUACGAUGAUCAAUAAGGUCGUUUCCCCUAGUCUAGGCCUUUGCAUUGCACUUUAGCUUGGGCUGAAACUGGCGAUUGCAGCUAAUGUUUGCAACUCGGUCGUAAAAUUUUUGUUAGCAGGGGUAAGCGUUCGCGCUACCCCUAA